GUGAAACAUGUUUAUACAUGCACAAGAGUGAGCUCCACAGUCUACUAAGAAGACCUGUAUUUCUGAUCUGCAGUGCGCCACCUUUUAGCAUGCUUUUCAGCUCACUCAACGGUCUCAUACAGAGCUGGGUAAAUAUGUCAAAAACUACAUCGGAAAGUCUCAGUUCAGAUAAACCCUGCAUAUCCUCGUCAGCAGUCAUGAGGCUUUUCUGUUUGCAUACUUUCAAGAGGCAUUCAUACAUGCAGUUCCUGUGUUGUCAUUCUGGACUUGCAUAG
rnacentral:lncRNA from 1 species